CCAUUUCAAUGAAUAAUAAACAAACAUGCUGAUUAUACUACGACUUUAACCAGGACUUUUAUACAGACUUAAUACCAUCAUCAUGAGCUACGGAACAUAUACCCCUGAACAACUUCAUUAACCAAACACUAUCACAACAAACUUAAACAUAACAAGGAAGAAAUGGACAGGAAGAAAUAGAGUGAAAGCUGAAUAACCUAAAAAAAUAUAGAAACUAAAGCCCCAAACAAAAUAAUCCUCAUUGACUUCAGUAGAAACAUAUCUUCCAUAUAAAACAUAUUCAAGCUCCAUUUGCCAUUCAAGGUUCAAAGGAAUACCUGGAAUAAUAAAAAACAAAUAGCAGAAACUUUCAGCAAAGAAAUUAAAAUAUCAGCAGCUUCUAAACAGCAACAAACAACAGUUCAUCAAUCAGUUUUUUAUGUCUUGAACCCAGAAGAAAAUAGCAAUUUUUCUAGCCUUUAAAACCCAAGAAACAUGAAAAAAUAGCUACAACAGACCAGUAUUUGCCAAUUUUUUGUGUUUUCUUGCUAAUUUCUAAACUUUAGUAGUGAGUGUACCCUUCAGCCGUUUCUAGUUAUUUAGUCUUGUAAUCGCUGCCCAUUUUUAUUGAAAACAACCCUUAUAUAAAGGACCUUAGGGCAGCAGAAUUGAUUUCAGAGUUUUGUUCAUUACCCCUUCCCCAAUUUUCCUUUUGCUCAAAUAACACCCUGAAUUUUAAACCCAUUUACUGAACUACCCAAUCCCCUCUUUCCUCGAAGCUUCCCAAUCAGUUUAAGGGAGAUUCCCCUUAUUAAAUUCCCUAAGCUACCCCUCAAAGGCUUACUAAAUACUUUAACACACCAGACCUUGAACCCCUUUAAACAAUUGAAAAUCCCAAAACCCUCACAACCCUUUGGGCCUUAGUGCUAAUGGGCCUGUCUGGAUGCAGGGCAGACCCCAAACCAAACAAAGCCCAAAACAAAGCAAUUUUUGGAAGAAGAAGAAAUCAACAAUAAUCCGACUCAGCGAAAUAAAAAAUAACUGCAAUGAACCAAUUCAUCGGGACCACAGAAUCGUAACAAAAUUAAAGAGAUAAAUUAGAAAUGAUUAGUGAGGAAUUACACCGAUUCAAAGGCCUAACAAAACUAAAUCAUGUUAAGACAUUUAACGAUAAUUGACAGACUAAACGACCCUGAGGUCAAGCACAAAGAAAGGAAAGCUAAAAUUCUUCGUUCUUGAAAGAAAAAGAGAAGAAGAUAAAGAAACGAAGGGGAACAGAUAGACAGAAAAAGGGACCAAGAUAGAUAGAAAUACCUAAUACUCUGGGCGGCCAGACGACUUGGAUAAAACAGCACCCCGGCUUUUCGAUUUAAACCGAAAUGAGUGUUAAUUGAUUGUUCUUGUGAGAACAAACGACUAACACUCGUUUCAGGCCAAAAUUGACUUCAAAGAUUGGAGAACAUGAACCCAGGCCUUUUACAUGAUGAAUCAAGGGCAAGAACGAAUCUAGGGUUUUGUCUUCAGAUCUAAAAUUAAGGGAGACUGGUGGAGAUUUUGGGGAAAUUGACACCGGCCUAAUGUUUGAGGGAGUAUGGGGAGUGUAUGGUUGAUUUUUGGUGGGAUUUGGAGCUUCAACGCCGCCAAAGGCGAAAUCCGGCGGGUGGCAGGCGGUGGUGAGAUAUGAGGAUGAAAGAUAAGCUGUAAUAGGGUCCUAGUUAUUUUAGGGGUAUUCAGAUAAUUAUAAACGAAAAAAGGGAGGGACUUUCAUGGCCGUUGGAUGGAUUAAGAUGAAGGGCCAGGAUCUACUUAACACAAAUGAACUCAAAACGACGUAGUAUUGCCCCCAUACUACAUCGUUUUAAGGGUCUCAUUGACUGAGAGCUUGGACCGGGUGUGGGACUGGGUUUUGGGCCUGGAAUUCAUUUGGGCUUUGUUGAAUUGGCUCUAACAGCCCUUCUGAUUCUCUUUUCCUUUUUUUCAAUUUUCAAUUUUUCCUUUUCUUUUUCAAAUUAAUUAACAAACUAAAUUAACUCUUAAAUUAAAAUAAUUUACCAAAUUAAGCUAAUUACCCAUCAUAAUAUUUACAAAAAUUAAUUAACUCCUAAAUUAAAAGAAGAACUACAAAUUUAAAAUUAAAAGGGUAAAAAUACAAAGUGAGCUAUUUUUUGUGAUUUUUCAUUUUUAUAAAACAACUAAUUUACUAAUUAACCUAAAAAUAUAAAAAUAAACCCCAAAUGCAAUGCAGAGUAUUUUUUUGUAUUUUUUAUGAUUUAAAUAAAACAAACGUGCACAGACAAAUGCGAACAAUUAACAAAAAUCCUACAAAAAAUCUACGAAAUUGCAAAUAAUGGAAAAUUUUAUUUUCUUGAAUUUAUGGGAGUACUUCGUAUAGGGCAAAAAUCACAUGCUGACAAAGAGUACACGAAUUAAAGAAAACGAGUUUCGUUGAAAGUGGUCAAACUGGGAUAAAAUCCCGGUCAAGCGAUAAUACCCGAUAAUUAUGAACUAGUACCAUGCAAGGUAUCAUAUGGCCGUGAUAAAGUGAUGCAUAAAGUAUAUUAAAAAUGAGUAGUAUUUUUAGGUAAAUUGAAAUAAUUCUUAAUUAUACGGAUAAUUGAUUAAUUACCGGGUAACGAGACAUUACCCAGUUAACUAAUAAGUAGAUAAAAAUUUAUAAAUCACCCCUCCAAAACGUGGCAAGAAGACACAAAUCAAGGAAAUGACUAAGUAGUCAUAUAAGUCAUAGGUGGCUAUCUAGGAAGCACUUGAAUUUAAUAAGGAAAUUGAUCUUAUUCCAUUAUCUUGGACAAAAACAGAACAAAGAACGUUCAAAAUCUAAAACAAGAAACAUACUCCACCUUUCCAUUUUCAAUUCUUCAACUAGAAGAAGCCUAUUUUCGUUCAUUUGGUUCGAAGAAGCAGAAGCUAAAGUUCUUUCAAGAAUUUCAAAAAAACAAAAGCUAAAUUGUUGAACAAUUUCAAAAUAGCAGAAGCUUAAUCCGAUUUUUAGGAUUCUAAGUUCAAUCCACGAAGGUUUCCAACGGAAUAUUAUACGGAGUUUUCCCUACUCCAGGUAUGUUAAGGCUAUCUCUUCUUUCUUUUAGCAUGGUUCAAAUUAUACAGAAGAAACGAGCAAACACACAGUUUCCCUAAAUUACUCUAUUUCAUAAAAGUACUAGGGGUCUCUGUGUUCUUGAUUCCCCAUGUGACAUAUUAUUAUAUCUUAUGUUUAUGGGUCUCAAAAUGAUACGCAGUUGAUAAAGUUUAUCCUAAAAGAAUAUUGAAAUUUUUAACAUAUUUCCAUGUAUUUUAUUCAUUUGUGCAUAUACAUUGACUCAUGACCAGACGGCGUUAUAUAUGCGUAUUUAUACGCAUAUAUUUAUGUAUAUGGGAUAUGGGAAAAAGGUUACGGCGUUAUAUACGCACCACCACCUGAUGAGUUGGUAUAUGUUGAUGAUGUUGCCCACAGUGGCCGAGAUGAUAUGAUGAGAUGCCCUCAAUAGCUUGAUGAUAUUAUGUACACCCAUACCUAUGCAUGACACGGCAUUUGUACGCACAUGCAUGACAUUAUAAGUGUUUCAGAAUUUACAAAGUUAUUCAGAUUUACAGAUGGAUUUCUUUAUUCCAUGUUUCAUCUGUCUUUUAUGCACUAAUUUUCAGAAUUUACAAAGUUAUUCAGAUUUACAUAUGGAUUUCUUUAUUCCAUGUUUCAUCUAUGUCUUUUAUGUACUAAUUUUCAUGCCUUACAUACUCAGUACAUUUUUCGUACUGACACCCUAUUUCAUGGGGCCUGCGUUCCAUGCCCGCAGGUGCAGGUAGUCAAGCUGACGUGGCUCAGUCCCGUCUUUGUACAGUUAUAUUUCUAUUAGAGGUCUGUAGACAGUAUGUCUAGUUGGAUAGUAUGUGGCCUUGCCGACUUCUAGUUUUGAGAUGUAUAGUUAUCUAUAGCAGCCUUGUCGGCUCGCCCUACGUAUGUUGCACGUAUAUGAAUGUAUGUCUUUUUGGGUAGAUUUCCUUCAUGUACAUUAUUCUCGUAAUUCAGCAAAUGUUAUUCAGGUUUAUAUCUUAGACGCAUGCUUGGGGGUGUUUGACAAGUAGGAUUCGGGCACUCGUCGCAGCCUAUCUGAUUUGGGUCGUGACAUAAAAAAUAUUUUCACUAUAAUUUCACCUUUAAGUUUCUACCAGCAUGGUACUAAAAUAUAUCAAUACUCGUCUAAUCGUUUAUAUAUCUGAAAAUUUGACAUAGAACUGAAAAGAUCAGUAUACAUAGGAGCAUAAUAAAUACGCUAAACUUAAAAAACAGCCUAAAAUGUGGAAACAAAUCAAUUUUCUUACCUUUGGAAUUUCAAAGAAUUUUUUCCUUCAUUUCCUGAUUUUAGCUGUUGCGACAUGCAUUGUGGAAUUCAUAUAGCAAUUACUUUGAAUUGAGAUAUAAUUGUUGUCGUUUCUUGAUUUUAAACGUAAUAUAAAUAUAAGACUGUGAUAUGUUCAGAUCAAAAGAAACAAAAUAUUCAAAUGUAAGUGUCAUACCAGCUCUCCUCUAUUCCAAUUUAUACAAUAACAAAUUAAUUGAAGAGUGAAUCAGAAAAAAAAAAUUAUUUGACUAAAACUUCUCCCACAUUGUUUUUAUGACCACCAAGGAUUGGGUUGGGUUUGGGGGUUUGAGGUGUGUGUGGGUGGGGGGGGGGGGAGAAUUGACUAUUGAUAAAAUUUAGGAGUUGGAGAAGAAGUUGAUGGAUAUGGUGGCUUGGGAGUUUAGCGGGGUCGCAAAUAGUAAGUGGACUAGGAAAACUAAUUGUAUUAGGGAAAUGGCUAGAGAUGUAUUAGGGGUCUCUAAAGGUAACUUUGGUAGGCAUAGAGAGAAUUGGUAAUGGAAUAGAGAGGUCCAAGGGAGAGUGGAAGCCAAGAAGGCUUCUUACAUGAAGUUAGUGAAGAGCAAAAACAAGGACGAAUAAGGAGAGGUAUAAGAGGGGCAUUUGUAUCUAUACCUGCUUUUUGGGUCACGUUUUAACUUGUGUCCGUUUUGCAAAAAAAAUUACAAGUGUACCCACUUUUUCGCGUAAUUUCAGCAUACGGGGUUGAAGUAGCAAAGGCAAUCACGCAAAACUUCAGCAUUCUAGUAAACGGGCCUGAAGUAGCAAGUGUGCUGAAGUUUUUGUUUGUAAUUGCUGAACUUAAGCAUAGUAGUUGAAGUUUUGUUCUCUAUUUGCCGAAGUUUUUAUUUUUAAUUGCACUAAAUAAGCUGAAAUUUUUUGUCCUAGAUUCAUUAGUUUUGUCAUUAAGCUUUUACAAAAACUUCAGCAGAAGAUGCUGAAGUUAUUUAGUUCAUUUAUAAAAACUUCAGCACUAAAUAAACUGAAGAUUUUUUUGUCCUAGAUAAGCUUUUUCAAAAACUUCAGCAGAAGAUGCUGGAGUUAUUUAGUUCAUUUGUAAAAACUUCAGCUUUAAAAGCUGAAGUCUUUUUGUCCUGGAUUCAUUAGUUUUGUCGUAAAGCUUUUUCAAAAACUUCAGCAUAAAAUGCUGAAGUUAUUUAGUUCAUUUGUAAAAAUUUCAGCACUAUAUAAGCUGAAGUUUUUGAAAAAGCUUUCUAACAUACUAGAUAAAUAAUCAGAUUGCCAACGGUAUCUAAAUCAUAAAUUUUGGAAAUAAUAAACGUGAAAAAAAUAGAAUUAUCAUUGUCUACUAACUUACGUACGUGGAAAUAUUCACAAAUUAUUGUCUACUAACUUACGUAAUUAUUUAUAAUUUGUUUCUAAAUAAUCUGAUAAACAUAUUUAUGGUAAUCAUCCCAUGAACUGAAGUUUUAUAGCAGCACCAAUAGCAGCAGAAGAAAGAAGAAGAAGAAGAAGAAGAAAACAAAGGACGAGAAGGAGGAGGAGAAAGGGGACUGAGUUGUUUAAAAAGUAUGCACGAGUUAAAACUUUUUAAAAAAAUGGGUAUAGGUUAAAUGAGGGCGACCAAAUAGGGCACUCUAUACAAUUUUUACGGCAUAAGAUUGCGAAGAAGAAAGCAAGUAUAGCGGCUAUGGCGGUUAAAACGACAGUAUUUAAACGCUUCUGUGAAGAACUAGAGGACAAAGCUGGGGGGGGAAAUUGUAUAGGCUUGCCAAGGCGAGAGAGAGGAUGACUCGCGACCUAGACCAAGUGAGGUGUAUUAAAGACGAGGAUGGCAAAGUACUGGUGGAAGAUGCAUACAUUCAACGAAGAUGGCAGACAUAUUUUGAUAUACUCUUAAAUAUAGAAGGGGAUAGGAAUAUUUGUGCUUGGUGAUUUAGAGCACUCUGAAAGCCGCCGAGAUUUGGGUAUUGUAGGUGUAUGAAGUUUGAGGAGGUGAAGAGGGCAAUUCGUAAGAAAAGAGGAGGAACAGUGAUCGGGCCAAACAAAAGUCCUGUGGAAUUUUGAAAAGUUGUAGGCAAAGUAGGUUUGGAGUGACUAACUGGAUUAUUUAAUACUAUUAUUUUUAGCGACUAACUGGGUUCUUUAAUAUCAUUUGGCCAAAAAUUAAUUAAAUGGCAUGAAGUCGAAAAUGCUGUAAAGAAGACCACAUCAUGACUAUUCCCCUCUCCUUUUUUUGUUUGACUCGGCCUUAGGCUAAAUCUAAGUGGAAAUGAUAUCACGUAGCCAUUUUUAAGUACGUUGUUUAAAAUAUAUCCAUAAUUUAUAAUAUAUCUAAAGAUUAGCCAAUUUCGCUCAAAGUUCCUAGAGUUUAGACCUCAAAGUUUUAACUUCAGGAUAUCGUGUCCUAAAGUUUAAAAAUUAUGUUCAAAAGUUCGAAUCUUAUGUCCUGAAUUUUAUAUUAAUAGUUCAAAAAUUCGGACACUAUGUCCUAAAUUUCCAAAUUCAUGAUACUUAGUUCUGAAGUUUGGACGAAUGACUAAUCUUUAAAUAUAUUAUAAAUUAUGGAUAUAUUUUAAAUAACGGGCUUAAAAGUGGCUAUUACUACACUUCGCCCUAAAUCUGUUCAUGGCCCAAACCCACAUCUCAAUUAACGGGUUAGGCAGAACGACCUGACCCGACCAUGGAAGCAGCUACCCACCGUCUCUCGUGACCCUUCUUUGUCUCUCUAGAACAUGUAGACACUUCGGCUCGACUCUUCUUUCUAUUAGAAGUUUCUGGCUCUCUCUCCCAUUUGCUCAGCACUUUCUAUAUUAUUAUCUUCUCUUUUUCUCCGCUUACUCUGUUUCCCUCUGUCUCUGCUUAAACAGUGAGCUUUUCUAGCUUGUGCGGUAAUAGUAUUAUUAUACUCUGCAUUUUCUUGAGCUUUCUUUGAUUUUAAUAAGUACCCUUUACAUUAAAACUUAUCACAAGUGAAGAAAGAAUUGUUCUUUCAUAAUGAAUAUGUUGUUCUCUUUGUUUGGUUGCUUAAUUCUUUACUGUUGGUACGUCUAUUGCAAGUUUCAAUUUUUGCUUAUGUGGGGUUGAUAAUUCUAUUAUAUUUAUUCCAUUUCAAUAUCUGUUUUAUACUCUUUAGGCUAAAGCUUACUGGUAUACAAGAAAGCAUGUUGCUUUGUGAAUGAACACGUGUAUAUUCUUUGUUUGAUUUUGUCAUUAAUCAAGCUUCAGUUUUUACUCAGGUGGGGUUGUCCAUCUCUUUGUCAUAUCCAUUAACUCAAACUUAUCACAAGAAAGAUGAUUCCUUCUGAAUGAAUAUGGAUAUUUUGUUUUGUUUGAUUAUUUCAUUCAUCAAUGUUGGUUUGCCUAAUGCAAAAAUUCAGCUUUGACUCAUGUGGGUUUGGUAAAAGUAUUUUCGUUAUUUCAUAUCCUUAAUCUGCUUAAUCACAGAUGAAGUGGUGUUGCUUUUGUUUGUCACUAAUUAAUUCUGGAAUGUUGCUUGAGUUUCUGUAUUUUGAUUCAAUUUCAUUUCCCCCUUUUCUUUUUUCCAGAAUUUGGAAUGAAAACAGUCACAUAUGGUAAUUGAAUACACAAGUGCAGAGAAAAAUCAUCUGUACAUAUUUCUUAAUUUAUUUUGGUGUGUGUGUGUGUGUGAGGGACAGAGAGAUGGGCCUUGAACAUGAUAGAUAUUACCGAUUAUUCUUGUACGAAGUAUCAAAUGGAUUACUUUUCAAUUUUUUAAUCAGCGGAUAUGUAUGUAUUUUCAUUGCAGGUGUUCUUUAGUCUGUGUAGUGUGUUCAUGGCUGAACAAGCAUACACUGUGGCAUCAGACAGUGAAACAACCGGGGAGGAAAAGACUUCACCUGCUUUCCCUGAGAUAGCGAUUGGAAUUGACAUUGGUACAUCUCAAUGCAGUGUGGCAGUCUGGAAUGGAUCUCAGGUUGAGCUCCUUAGAAACACGAGAAAUCGGAAAUUGAUGAGAUCAUAUGUUACCUUCAAAGAUGAGGUCCCAGCUGGUGGUGUUAGCGAUGAAUUGGCUCACGAACAUGAUAUGUU
rnacentral:lncRNA from 1 species